rnacentral:rRNA from 1 species
UACGAAGGGGGCUAGCGUUGCUCGGAAUUACUGGGCGUAAAGCGCACGCAGGCGGAUUGUUAAGUCGGGGGUGAAAUCCUGGAGCUCAACUCCAGAACUGCCUUCGAUACUGGCGAUCUCGAGUCCGGGAGAGGUGAGUGGAACUGCGAGUGUAGAGGUGAAAUUCGUAGAUAUUCGCAAGAACACCAGUGGCGAAGGCGGCUCACUGGCCCGGUACUGACGCUGAGGUGCGAAAGCGUGGGGAGCAAACAGG